UUCUUUUCAUUUUUUACCAUUAACAUUACCUCAACUUAUUUGUUUUAAUAAUAGUAAAUGUUCCCAACACUUUGGGAACAUAUUGAUUAACAUCCAUUAACACAUCAACGUCAGGUUGAUCCAACAUUUGUCCCUGGGGCGAAUCCUGGCACUUGGACUUUCUGAUAUGGCCCAGGGUGACCGGUGGCGCCCCUCCAGUCAAUAGGACUCUAGGCAACCGCCUAUAUUUUAUACCCCAAGAGCUGCCCCUGCCUGCACCACUACUGCAACACUGCCUAUGAGUUUAUUGCAAAUUUAUUGAGACCCAACAAAAAUAGUAUCUGACUUUUUUAUUCAUAUUGACCUGGAAUUCAAAUUGUCUUCCUGAAACCAACUGUGUAGCUCUGUCCUGUGUCUGUUGCUUAAACAUAAGGAAUUAAAAAAAAUAAUAACAAUGUUGAGUGUUAUUAAAAAAACAAACUGAAAAGCAUCUGGGGACUUAUUUACACUGAAGUUAAAUAAGCUAAAAACAGCUGUCUGGCACCUCCACAGGAGGCCUUUACCUUCACCGUCGCCACCGCCUCCUCUGCUGCAAAGAAAGUUUUAAGUUUACAUCAGGAAGAUCGUGACUACAGGCAUCAUUAAUCAAGGCCGCUGCUCAAUUAAUCAAAAAAGGAGAGUCUUACUCCUGCGACCCUGUUAUCCAAACCAGAACCUGUGUGUCAAUAUGGGCCUCAGGGAGGCAGCCAGCCAGAACUGCUGCUCUAGGACCAGUCAAUAGAGAAGCCUGGAGAUCAGACAGUCCUCCCACACGGUGUCAGUGUCCGAGUCCUCAGAGAGACACACACUCGCGACACUAUGAAUACCUCAAAUUAAUGAUAUAGUUCAGGAAUUUUAAAUAGUGCUCUUAUUAGUUAGUUAGUGUCCUUUAGUGACUACCUCAGAAUUAAUUGCAAAAACUGACAAGUUUGUGUCGCAGCACACGAUGUCAAGCCACUACUGCUUCCGUCAGUUUAAAUGUUAAUGUUUUUUGUUUUACGGGAAUUUUAAAUCUUUAUGUUUAGUUUAACCCUGUGGUUCUCAAAGUGGGGGGGAGGGCGUCCCCUGGGGGGCGCAGACGGAAUUAAUGAACGAACUGUAAUGUAGCAUAUUGUCCAAUGCUGUAAAUGUUUAACAAGAGACUGGCGAAAAAGUGACUGGUUGAAGGUGGUGUACAAUUAAUAUCUGAUGAUGAUAUCGCAAAAGUGGUCAUUAUUUUUAAUUCUUGCUCUUGUUUUUUCGCUGUCACCUGUAUAAUCUGCUUGGAGUAGUGAUUGCAGCCCCCGUGCAGUGCGCCCCCUGCUGCUCCCUACAUACAAAAUCUCACUCCUGCCAACCGACCAAAGUUGGCAAUGCUAGCUUAAAACUGCGUAAAAACAGUUACAUUUAAAAUGUGUGAAACAAACCAAAAUUUUCUCAUGAACCCAAGUUUGUGAACCACUGGUUUAACCUCAGUAACAUAAACCAUUCACAGGGGACAGCAGCAGACUCACUACUUCAGUGUCCGUGUGGACACAAAUAUUCACUCAGUGGUCUAAAAACGUAAUUUCCUGGCAAAAAAAAA